rnacentral:rRNA from 1 species
UGUUGCAGUUAAAGCUCGUACUUGGAUCUAGGGACGCGCAUUUCAAGCGCCCGUGCCGUCGGGUCAAACCGGCGGCUGCGUUGGCGUUGCGGGCUCGGUCCGUCGGUGCCCCACAAAGGGCUAUCGGCGUGUCAACCGGCCCGCCCGUCCCCUCCUUCUGGAUUCCCGUUCCUGCUAUUGAGUUAGUGGGGACGUCACAGGGGGCUCAUCGUCGUCGUGCAAACGGCGGCGGUGGGUCCCUGGGGCCCAGAUCGUUUACCGUGAAAAAAUUAGAGUGUUCAAAGCAGGCAGAUCCAAUUUUCUGCCACCGAAUACUUUAGCAUGGGAUAAUGGAAUAGGACCCUGUCCUCCCUAUUUUCAGUUGGUUUUGGCAGCGCGAGGACUAGGUUAAUGAUUAAUAGGGAUAGUUGGGGGCAUUAAUAUUUAAUUGUCAGAGGUGAAAUUCUUGGAUUUAUGAAAGAUUAACUUCUGCGAAAGCAUCUGCCAAGGAUGUUUUCAUUAAUCAAGAACGAAAGUUAGGGGAUCGAAGACGAUCAGAUACCGUCGUAGUCUUAACCAUAAACGAUGCCGACCAGCGAUUAGGAGACGUUGAAUACAAAACACCACCAUCGGUGCGGUCGUCCUUGGCGUCGGUCUUUCGGGGCCGGCGCGGGGACGGCUUAGCCCGGUGGCACCGGUGAAUGACUCCCCUAGCAGCUUGUGAGAAAUCAUAAGUCUUUGGGUUCCGGGGGGAGUAUGGUCGCAAGGCUGAAACUUAAAGGAAUUGACGGAAGGGCACCACCAGGAGUGGAGCCUGCGGCUUAAUUUGACUCAACACGGGGAAACUUACCAGGUCCGGACAUAGUAAGGAUUGACAGAUUGAUAGCUCUUUCUUGAUUCUAUGGGUGGUGGUGCAUGGCCGUNCUUAGUUGGUGGAGGGAUUU